AUUAAUUUGAACGUCUCUCACUAAGGUCUGACUUAAAUCAUAUGGGUUGUUCGAACCAUUCAUUUAUAUAUACAAAAUAUCUCGCAACUCUAGUGUUCUUGUUCACAUCUUGGAUGCAAGAUACUGAUAGAAAAAAUACUUCAAUGUAAGUAAAUGAUCAAAUUAUAUGUAUAGGUCAUGCGAGUGCGAAGAGCAAACCACUGAUUUACUGUUUACCACAGUUUGGCUCAAGCCAAAAGCAGACCAUCAAUGAACAAGAAUGGUGAUGAACAAGAAUGGUGAGCUUAUCGCCUAGAAAAAGAUCUACCAUAUCAACCAGGAAUCACAUCUUUGUUCCCAUCAUCGAACAAUUGAAAAGUAUAGAAAUGCGCUAUCCUAGAGCUAACAAGAAAGAUGUUCCUGUAAAACAUGAGAUCAAUGGAGGCAGAAACUUCAUAUAUAUUGAUGUGAAAAAAGGAAGCAUUAUCUUUUGCAAGUCUGCAGAAAACAUCCAUCGAAACAGAAAAUAAAAUUUAGAAUACUAACAUUUCAUAAUAGAAAACUACCAAGUAGAACCAAAAGAAGGGAGCAUGACAUCUAAACAAUCUCAAGCCUCAACCCUCUCAGGUGCUGGUGCCUCCUCAGCGGGGUAGACAAUAACCUUAUUGGCAGGUUUAGACAAGAUAUCAGCAUACUCUUGGAAAGGAGAUUUGGUGAAGCGAGUCUCCUUCCAGAAGUCUGGAGUCAGAAACCCAUAAGUCUUCAUCAAACAAUCAAAUGUAGCCUGCAACAUAUAAAGAAUGGCAUUAAACCACCAAUAAAAUAUAUGGUAUAUGAACAACAUAUAGAAUAAGAGAAGAGAGUUUAAAGUUUAUGCUAGAUCAGAAUAUAUAUUUAUGUUAUAGGACAAAGAUGGUUACAGCAAAUUUACAGUUUAAGGUCUUAAACAAAAUCUAAUCAGAGUCGCCUUUUUUUCGCCAAUUAAUUAAAAACAAAGAGCCAUUACAGCAUGUCCACAUCACGAUUUAAACUAAACCCAGCUAGAAGGAAUAAACACAAGUACAAGACAGAAAAAUGGUAGUAAGAACCAAUAUUUGUUACUCCCUAAUUUGACUUCUCUUGCACUACAUUCAAUCAUACUCUGUCAAAAAUUAACAGCUGUUAAUGUAUCGCAGCCAUCUGGAACUAGUAAAACUUAACAUCGGUACUAUUUAUAUCCUACUCUAUCAAUUAUAUUUUAUAAUUUGGAAUUUUGAUUUAAAAUAAUGGUUUGUAGUAUAAAUGUACCUUUCUUAUAGGAAACCAACCUACUAUUUACAUCGGUACAAUUUAUAUCCUACUCUAUCAAUCAUUUUUAAACAUGAAACAACAGAAGCUGAUGGCUAUUUCCAAAGCAUUUGGAGCAGACUCCUUGGUCAGAGACAAACUUCACAUUUAAUCAUCUCCACAAUGUCUAUUUCAAAAUUAUUUUAGCAAUAUGUAUAGUCCAAAGCUUUUUUUUUUUGGUUCAACGAUAAAGUUAGACAAAUACAACUGCAGCAAUUCUUAUCUUAUAAGAUCACUACAUGUACUAAACAUAUAAUCAUGUAACAGAAUCUUAAUACAAUUGAAAGAAAAGAUAGUUGCGAGAUUAUUUAAAUAGACCGAACCUUAACNGGGGAGUGAGUGGAGGUAGAUUUGCUCCAAUGAACGGAUUUUGUUGUCUUUCACGAGCCUUCCUAGCUUUGUGACUGGGACCCAUUUCUCCUCCUCUGUCUCACGGCGGGGACGACGGCCACCACGGCCGCGUCCGCCGCGGUCUCCGCCUCUUCCACCGCGUCCUCCGAAGCCACGGCCAAAGCCUCCUCUCUCCCCUCCUCUCUCAGCCAUGGUUGUUUGCUGUCAACGGCUACGGUUUUAGUGAAUACAGAGGAUGCUGCAGAUAGACUGUGAGCACUAAGUGCGAAGAUGGAGAAGAAGGGGUUAGGUUUAUAAGGGUAGGGUUUGUUGAUGCAGUAGAAUUGGGCCUGAUUGCUCUGGGUAGAAAUGAAGAUUAGCCCAUAUAGCAGGCCUAGUUUGGCCCAUAGCACUAAUCAUUUUUGGAAUUUUCCUAUAAGCACCUUAUUUAUUUUAAAUAAAUAUCAUUAAAAAAAAUUAUAUUCUAUAAAUACCUUUUAAGGUUUAUAACAAAAUAUUUAAUUUUAGUUACCUCCUAGCCCUAAGCCACUAAAUACGUUAAUCAGUUACAUUUUUUUCUUUCUCUCUCUACUUUGAUACAUCUCAUUCUCUUCCCCCAUCCCAUUAAAAUUUUUUAUCUCCUCCUCCUUCCACCGAUUUUCUUUCUAUCCCUUCCCACUUUCCCCUCUCUUUACACCAGCGUGAUGAUCCUUCCGUCGUCGUUGGUUUUCCGAUCGCCGAAAAACCUCUUUAAGACCCUCUUUAAAGGAUUCUACAACUACCCUUUCUUUAACUUCCUCUUCUUCUCAUCUUCCGGCGACAUCCAACUUUUUUUCUUUCUUUUUGCUUUGUCUUCUUCUGGAAUUGAACUACAGUAGAGGAGUUGGAAUAUGAGGCAACAACGUUCGACGCAGAGCUGGAGAGUUGCAACUUUGAAUUGCUGGUUGCAGUGGAAACUGGGUCGCCACUCGACGUCAAGUCCAACGAGGAAAUACCGGCGGUCAUGGAAAGAGGAUUUGGUUUCGGAGAUCCACUGAGUGACGAUUUCUUUCUUUCGCGAUGAAGAAGAACAUUUCUGUUAAUAUAUUUCAAUGUAAUUUCAAUGUAUUACGCUGUAUUUUCAUGGUUUUCAUUGUAUUCAUUGUUUUUUUUCAUUGUAAUUCAAUGUAUCUCACUGUAUUCCAUGUAUUUUAUUGUAUUCUGUCUUUUUUUCAUUAUAUUUCAAUGUAUCCUAUUGUAUUCUAUGUAUUUCAUCGUAUUCACUGUCUCGCUAUAUGCCAUGAAUGUAUUCAUAAGUUUUAAUUAAUAUAAUUUAUGUAUUCAGAUAUAUUAUAUAAUUUCUCUAAAGAUUGCUAUAUUUUUGGGGUAUUUUUUGGUUGAGAAUCUUUUUUAUAAUUGAAAAUACAAAUUUUGUGUGUUAUAAUUGAGUUUGUUAAGUUAUAUUAGAAGUCUAUUAUGUUAAUUGAUUCACUUUUCAUUUUAUAAACAGUGUAAUCCCCUAUUUCACACUGUGAAUACAGUCGAAUACAAUAAUAUGUCCAGCUGUAAUCCCAUGUUUCACUCUAUGAAUUCAGUCGAAUACACUCGAAUACAACAACUGAUUAGCUGGACUUCCCUGAUUCACACUUAUUUUUGCUACUGUAUUCAUGAAUACAAUAGCUUAAAUAUAUCAAAUACAUCUUAUAACCACAUAAAAGGUAUAUAUAAUCUGUAAUAUAGCAAAUGGUAUCUAUAGAUGGCUAAUUACUACUAAAAGAUAGUGUUUUAUGAAAAUUUCUCAUCAUUUUUUCUUACUGCAACCAAAUUUAGUUUUAUAUACAUAGUAGUUUAUAGAUACGUUGCACAUGUAUCUAAUACCGACAGUAUUGAUAAACUAAUACUUCAAAUUUGCAAAAAAAAAUGGAAAAGGGGUAAUUCCAUUAAUAACAGUUACACGGGCAUUACAUCACUAUUAUUAAUAGUAGGGAUAAUAUUAAGGUUUCCAAGCACUGCUAAUGUAUUACAUAUAGAGCUAGAAACUAGUCUAGUAGUAGAAGCUUCAUUUUUGUCCUCCUGGAUCACUCUUUUUACUGUAUCCGGAGGUAAGUGCAAAAUAGUUGUAGUGGAGCUUAGAUGUUGUUGCUUGGAACCCAAUUUACACAAAAAGUGUGCCAUUUUGUUGCCUUCGCGAAAGCUAUGUCGGACCACUGGACUCCCCAAUUUCUUCAAUAAGUACCUGCAUUCCAAGAUAGUAUUAGUAUAGGUAGGGAAGGUAUUGUGUUGAAGUAGUUGGAUUAUGUCCGUCGACUCAGUGUCAAUCUCCAGUGGUGCUAGUCCUUUUUUCAUGUGCCAAUUUUAAACCUGCAUGAAGUGCUUGUAACUCUGCGUGAGUAGAGUUGGAGGCAUUAAUUUUGUUAGUAAAUCCUACAAUCAUGUCUCCUUGACUAUUUCUUAUUAUGCCCCCAAUUCCUCCCGUGUUUUGGUUACCCAAGGAAGUAUCUAUGUUUAGUUUGUAGUUGUAAGGUGGUGGUGGGUACCAUUUAAUGUGUACCGGAUUUUUGUGCAUUGUGCAUUUAUAGUUGGAGGCUAGUAAUUUAAACUCAAUGGCACGUGUGUUAACCAUAUGGUAAUUUAAGUUGUUUGAGUAAUUGUGGAAGCAGUGGUUGUUCCUAUUUAGCCAAAGGUGUCAUAUUGCAAAAGGAAAAACAUCCUACCAAGUUAUGGAGUUGUGAGUAACCGGUACUUGGAGGUCUCUAAUAGCUAAUAGCCAGUGUUUGUUGUGGGGAAUGGUGUUGAUGUCAAUGCCUGUGUUGUCCCAAAAUGAGCGUGCUAUAGUGCAUUCAAGGAAGAUAUGAGUAAUGGUUUCUUCUGCCAUCCUACAAAUCAUGCAAGUAUUGUUAUUUGAAACACCAAUUUGGUGAAGGUAGGAGUUAGUGGGUAAUCUAUUUUAAAGCAUUGCCACAGGAAAAAUUUGAUUUUGUUUAGGGUAUGCAGUUUCCAAAUUCAAUCAUAGUCAGUGGUCUUUUGGAUGUGUUGGUGAAGUAAUUUGUCAACUGAGUGGGUUGUGAAGGUGCCAUUUGUGUUGAGCAUGAAAAUAGGUGUGUCUGCUGCAAGGGGAUUUUUUGAGAUGGAGAUGGGGGAGAUGUCAGCAGUAAUAUUUUUGGGUAGCUCGAAUGGUAUAUUGGACCAGUUCCAUUGAUCGUUUAGCCAAACCUGGUCAAGGGUCAAGUUGCAAUCAUUUUUGUUGAGAGGACACUGAAUGAUUGAGCGGAUGUUUGUUUUGUUUGGGGUCCAGCGACCGUAGUAGAAGUUAAUGGAUUUACCAUUGCCAAUAUUCCAAGCCAAGCCUUUGUUGAUGGUUUCCCAACCCUUAAGUACUUUUUUCCAAAUGAAGGAGGUGGUCUUGGCCUUAGGCUUAUUGUUGUUUCUUUGGAUUAGAGUAUCUGCCCACAUGGUUGAUGGGUUGGUGAAUAGUCUCCAUGCAAGUCCCGCUAGAAUGACCUGGUUUUUAUGACAUGCCUUGGGUAACCCUAGGCCACCUAAUUCCUUUGGGAGGGUUACAACAUCCCACGAUAUGUAGUGUAUAUUUUUUUUAAUAGUGGUUGUCCCCCAAAUAAAAUCUCGCUGGAUUUUAUCAAUUUGGUGAAGGAUUUUUUGGGGAGGGAUAUGUAUUGCAUAUUACGGUAAGGGAUGGCAUUGAGGGCAGCCUUUGCAAGGGUUGCUCGUCCCAUAAGAGUGAGAAAGUUUGUUUUCCAGUUUGCAAGCUUGUUCCUCAUAUCGUCAAUUACAAAUUGGAAGUCAGAUGAUUUGGGCUUAUUAUUGGUAAUGGGGAAACCCAAAUACUUGCCAAAUUGGCUAGUUGGGUUAAUGUUAAAAAGAUCUAUUGCAUAGUCUUUUAUGGCACUUGAGCAGUUACUGGAGAAGAGAAUUUUGGACUUGGUGUUGUUGAUUUUGUGAACCGAUAGGGAGCAAAAGGUUGUUAAAGAAUGAUGAAUAGUAUUGCUGGAUUUUUUAUUUGCUUAGGCCAUGAAUGACAGGUCAUCUGCAUAAAAGAUAUGUGAUACAUGAGGUCCUUUUGGCCCAAUUCUAAUGGGGUUCCACAGAGUAAGGUCCACUUGGUGAUGUAUGUAUAUAGAGAGUAAUUCCAUG
rnacentral:lncRNA from 1 species